GCACCUACGGGAGGCAGCAGUGAGGAAUAUUGGUCAAUGGGCUUACGCCUGAACCAGCCAAGUCGCGUGAGGGAAGACUGCCCUAUGGGUUGUAAACCUCUUUUGUCAGGGAGCAAUUGGCGCUACGUGUAGCGUUAUCGAGAGUACCUGAAGAAAAAGCAUCGGCUAACUACGUGCCAGCAGCCGCGGUAAUACGUAGGUGGCGAGCGUUAUCCGGAAUGAUUGGGCGUAAAGGGAGCGUAGGCGGCAUGCUAAGUCUGGAGUGAAAGGUACCGGCUCAACCGGUACAGGCUCUGGAAACUGGG
rnacentral:rRNA from 1 species